UCCCCUGCCCCACGCCGCGUGCCGCUCCCUACCCCGCCCCCUCUCUCCCUGUCCUCCCCCUCCCUGGGGUUGGCGGUGGCCAUAGGGCCCUGUUGGUGGGGCAUGACCUCCCGUGAUGGGGCCCAGGGGGCUGGUGUUGGCCGUGACUCUGGACGCAAGUUGGGCCAUUCCCGUGGAUUACCCCAGUUGUGGCCGCCCAUGGGGAGCCUGGUGGUUGCUGGUGUGCCCUGUCUCGCUCCGCACCAUCGUGUAUGUCCGCGUGGGCAGGGAACGACCGGGUGUCCGUGGGUGGUGGGCGGGGUGGUUCGUUCCCCCACCUCCCCCGGGCCCCAUCCUUCUCCUGUCCCCACCUCUGUGGCGGUGGCGGGCUGCUGGCUGGUCCCUGCCCCCGGGGCUGCGGUUCCGUGCAGCGCCUCGGCCAGUGCUUAGCAGCCGACUUAGAACUGGUGUGCACCAGGGGAAUCCGACUGUUUAAACAAAGCAUCGCGAAGGCCCUUGGGGGCUGUUGCAAAGUGAUUUCUGCCAAUUGCUCUGAAUGUCAAAAUGAAGAAACUCAAUGAAGCACGGGUAAAUGGAGGGAGUAACUGUGACUCUCUUAAGGUAGCCAAAUGCUUCGUCAUCUAACUAGUGAUGUGCAUGAAUGGAUGAAUGAGAUUCUCACUGUCCCUACCUACUUACUCUCCAGUGAAACAACAGCCAAGGGAAUGGGAUUGGUGGAAUCAGUGGGGAAAGAAGACCCUGUUGAGCUUGACUCUAGUCUGGCAUGGUGAAGAGAUGUGAGAGAUGUAGAAUAAGUGGGAGGUCCCCUGUGAUCCCCUGUCCCCCUGAGGGGGAGGGGUGGGGUCCUGUGGGCUGCCCGUGGAAUACUACCACUCUGAUAGUUUUUUCACUGACCUGGUGAGGCAGGGGGUGAGCUCUGAGGGGCUCUCCCUUCUGGCGCCAAGUGUCCAGCUGUGCGCUGGCUGGGUGUGACCCAUUCCGGGGACAGUGCCAGGUGGGGAGUUUGCAGCGGUACACCUGUUGAACGGUAAUGCUGGUGUCCUAAGGCGAGCUCAGGGAGGACAGAAACUUCGUGAGGAGAAGGGCAAAAGCUCGCUUGAUCUUGAUUUUCAGUGGGAAUACAGACUGAAAGCUGGGCUUUGACUAUCCUUCUGACCUUUUUAAGCAGGAGGUUGUCAGGAAGUUACCACAGGAGAUAACUGGCUUGUUGUGGCCAAGUGUUCAUAAGGACGUUGCUUUUUGAUCCUUUGAUGUUGGCUCUUCCUAUCAUUGUGAAGUAGAAUUCACCCAGCAUUGGAUUGUUCAACUAAUAGGGCAUGUGAGCUGGAUUUAGACCGUCGUGAGACAGGUUAGUUUUACCCUACAUGAUGUGUUGCCAUGGUACCUGCUCAGCAUGAGAGGAACCACAGGUUCAGACAUGUGCUUGGUUGAGGAGCCAAUGGGGUGAAACUACCAUCUGUUGGAUUAUGACUGAAUGCCUCUAAGUCAGAAUCCCACCCAGGUGGAAGGAUACAGCAACGUCAUGGAGCCUUGGUUGGCCUUGGAUAGCUGGUUCCCCAUCCCUGCUGGUGGGCUGCGGCGCCCUGGGUUAGGUGUGUCCCACCAUGUGCCAGGACUGGGUCCGGUGCAGAGUGCCCUUCAUCCUGGGAAGGGUGUGGCUGGAAAGGCUACCUACUCGCCCGUCACGCAGCAUACAUUCGGGGGGAAGUUGGCACUAAACCAUUCAUAGACGACCUGCUUCCGGGUCAGAGUUUCGUAAGUAGCAGAACAGCUCCCUCUCUGUGAUCUAUUGUAAGUCAGCCCUUGACAGAAGGGUUUGUCCGCGUGUGUGU
rnacentral:rRNA from 1 species